rnacentral:lncRNA from 1 species
UACAUCUAAAUGUCUUUUAAAGACCUCCAGGGAUGGUGACUCUACCACUUCCCUGGGCAGCCCAUUCCAAUUCCUAACAACCCUUUUGGUAAAGAAGUUCUUCCUAAUAUCCAACCUAAACCUCCCCUGGUGCAACUUUCAACUAUUCCCCCUCAUCCUGUCACCAGGCACGUGGGAGAAUAGACCAACCCCACCUCGCUACAGCCUCCUUUAAAGUACCUGUAGAGUGUGAUAAGGUCACCCCUGAGCAUCCUUUUCUCCAGGCUGAACAAUCCGAGCUCCCUCAGCUGCUCCUUGUAGAUCUUGAUCUCUCAUUACACCAGUGAAAAUAAAUUUGGACUGAGAAAGAAUGGUCAGUUGACGAAUAUUUUGUUAGAGUAGAGAAUAUGACAAAAGAGAGUAAAGUUCUAUACUGACACAUGCCAUGAAGGACUCAUAAGAUUGUUCAAAAAUGCUAGAAUUUUCAACAGAAGCAGCAUGCCAUUUGGAAAAAUCUACAAGAAUGUUCACUUCAUCAGAAGGGCCAUGGACCAUGCUGCAGCAAGAGUCUAUAAAUGAUUCCUGGUCUGAACACAACAGCAUGGUUGUUUUGGAGAGCACUGCAGGUUGUCUCAGAGGUGCGAUGCGGUGCGAUGUCCUUUGGUGCAUUCAGGACAUUACCACAGUUGUUGAGUCCUUACCAGGCACGUUCAAAGCUACUCUGGACAUGGAGGAAAUAGGAUGCUCCUCCAGUAGCCAUUUUAAUGUGGUGGAAAAGGAAAGAAAAGAGCUGCAUUCAGCUUUGCAUCCAGAAACUCUCCUUAAAAAGUAUACAAAUAAAGCGAAACCCUUCAUAUGUGAAAACAACUUGGGAUUCCUUCUGACCAAAUCAGCAUACUGCACUGGUGCAAAGGCUACUUUGGACUAGCUGGUGUUUGGAUUGCAUUGUCCUGGCAUGAACCUUCCUCAUGCUUUUCUCCCAGCUUGUCCUGCUCCCCGGUUGUUUAAUGUGGGUAUGAGAAGUCUCCUUUCGCUGUCAAGAGUAAGCAGCUCUGGGGUGGGCUGUGCCAGCCAUUGUCCCACUAAAUAAAAUCCUUUCCAGGGGGAUGACA